GAUGAACGCUGGCGGCGUGCCUAAUACAUGCAAGUCGAGCGAACAGACGAGGAGCUUGCUCCUCUGACGUUAGCGGCGGACGGGUGAGUAACACGUGGAUAACCUACCUAUAAGACUGGGAUAACUUCGGGAAACCGGAGCUAAUACCGGAUAAUAUAUUGAACCGCAUGGUUCAAUAGUGAAAGACGGUUUUGCUGUCACUUAUACAUGGAUCCGCGCCGCAUUAGCUAGUUGGUAAGGUAACGGCUUACCAAGGCAACGAUGCGUAGCCGACCUGAGAGGGUGAACGGCCACACUGGAACUGAGACACGGUCCAGACUCCUACGGGAGGCAGCAGUAGGGAAUCUUCCGCGAUGGGCGAAAGCCUGACGGAGCAACGCCGCGUGAGUGAUGAAGGUCUUCGGAUCGUAAAACUCUGUUAUUAGGGAAGAACAAAUGUGUAAGUAACUAUGCACGUCUUGACGGUACCUAAUCAGAAAGCCACGGCUAACUACGUG
rnacentral:rRNA from 1 species